rnacentral:rRNA from 1 species
CGUACAGGUCUCCGUAGGUGAACCUGCGGAGGGAUCAUUACACAAAUAUGAAGGCGGGCUGGAACCUCUCGGGGUUACAGCCUUGCUGAAUUAUUCACCCUUGUCUUUUGCGUACUCCUUGUUUCCUUGGUGGGUUCGCCCACCACUAGGACAAACAUAAACCUUUUGUAAUUGCAAUCAGCGUCAGUAACAAAUUAAUAAUUACAACUUUCAACAACGGAUCUCUUGGUUCUGGCAUCGAUGAAGAACGCAGCGAAAUGCGAUAAGUAGUGUGAAUUGCAGAAUUCAGUGAAUCAUCGAAUCUUUGAACGCACAUUGCGCCCUUUGGUAUUCCAAAGGGCAUGCCUGUUCGAGCGUCAUUUGUACCCUCAAGCUUUGCUUGGUGUUGGGCGUCUUGUCUCUAGCUUUGCUGGAGACUCGCCUUAAAGUAAUUGGCAGCCGGCCUACUGGUUUCGGAGCGCAGCACAAGUCGCACUCUCUAUCAGCAAAGGUCUAGCAUCCAUUAAGCCUUUUUUUCAACUUUUGACCUCGGAUCAGGUAGGGAUACCCGCUGAACUUA